rnacentral:tmRNA from 1 species
GGGGCCGAAUCAGCUUCGACGGGGGAACAGAGACACGGGAGGCGUGCCGAGGACCAUCUUGCUCGCUAAACAGAUGGAAACAACGUCAACUGCCAAUCAGCAGCUUGCACUCGCGGCUUAAAUAACCGCGACGUUCCCUCCGGGCAGCCCGCGGCCUUGAACGGAAUGCCAUUUUAGCGGGCUGGCGACCACCGGUGGCUCCGGACGGUGGUGGCGAGACGCUUCGGAGCUGGUCCUGGUCGGUUUGUGUAGCGUCUACACGCCCGGGACGAGACAUCAGACGCUGCUACGCACGUAGAAUCCCGCGGGGACGUUCUUUCGGACGGCGGUGCAAUUCCGCCCGGCUCCACCA